rnacentral:rRNA from 1 species
GACGAACGCUGGCGGCGUGCUUAACACAUGCAAGUCGAACGGAAAGACCCUGUUCUUGUGGGGUGCUCGAGAGGCGAGCACGUGAGUAACACGUGAGUAACAUGCCCUUGACUUUGGGAUAACAUCAGGAGACUGGGGCUAAUACCGGAUAUGAGCUCCUGCUUCACGGUGCGUGUUGGUAAGUUUCGGCGUUUGGGGAUGGACUCGGGGCUUAUCAGCUUGUUGGUGGGGUUGUGGCUUACCAAGGCUCCGACGGGUAGCCGGCCUGGGAGGGUGACCGGGCACAUACGGCUUGAGGUAGGGGCAAGAGGGAUACUGGGGGAAGGGGUGGGAGACAGAGCGAGAUGGGCGGAGGGCGGAUAGAGGGACGCCGGGUGGGGGAUGACGGCUGUAGGGUUGUAAACCGCGUGCGCGUGGGACGAAGCGUGAGUGACGGUAACUGGUAAAGAAGCACCGGCUAACUACGUG